rnacentral:rRNA from 1 species
AUACGGAGGGUGCGAGCGUUAUCCGGAUUUAUUAGGUUUAAAGGGUGUGUAGGCGGGAGCCUAAGUCAGUGGUGAAAUCUCACAGCUUAACUGUGAAACUGCCAUUGAAACUGGGGUUCUUGAGUAUAGUUGAGGUAGGCGGAAUGUGUAAUGUAGCGGUGAAAUGAAUAGAUAUUACACAGAACACCGAUUGCGAAGGCAGCUUACUAAGCUAUUACUGACGCUGAUGCACGAAAGCGUGGGUAGCGAACAGGAUUAGAAACCCGAGUAGUCC